rnacentral:sRNA from 1 species
ACCCAUCCCACGCGCAGCCAUCCUGGGCUAU